UACGUAGGGUGCGAGCGUUGUCCGGAAUUAUUGGGCGUAAAGGGCUCGUAGGCGGUUUGUCGCGUCGGGAGUGAAAUCCACUGGCUUAACUGGUGGCUUGCUUUCGAUACGGGCAGACUGGAGGUAUGCAGGGGAGAACGGAAUUCCUGGUGUAGCGGUGAAAUGCGCAGAUAUCUGGAGGAACACCGGUGGCGAAGGCGGCAUCCUGGACAGGCAUUGACGCUGAGGAGCGAAAGCCAGGGGAGCAAACGGG
rnacentral:rRNA from 1 species